UACAUGGGGUGCAAACGUUGCUCGGAAUUAUUGGGCGUAAAGAGCUCGUAGGCGGUGUGUCGCGUCGGCCGUGAAACCUGCAGCUUAACUGUGGGCGUGCGGUCGAUACGGGCAUCACUGGAGUUCGGCAGGGGAGACUGGAAUUCCUGGUGUAGCGGUGAAAUGCGCAGAGUAUCAGGAGGAACACCGGUGGCGAAGGCGGGUCUCUGGCCGAUACUGACGCUGGAGGCGCGAAAGCCGUGGGAGCGAACAGG
rnacentral:rRNA from 1 species